rnacentral:rRNA from 1 species
UACAGAGGGGGCCAGCGUUAUUCGGAAUUAUUGGGCGUAAAGGGCGCGUAGGCGGCCAUGCGUGUCUUCCGUGAAAUCCCUCGGCUUAACUGAGGACGUGCGGAAGAAACUGCAAGGCUCGAGUCCCGGAGAGGAUGGUGGAAUUCUCGGUGUAGAGGUGAAAUUCGUAGAUAUCGAGAGGAACACCGGCGGCGAAGGCGGCCAUCUGGACGAGGACUGACGCUGAGAUGCGAAAGCGUGGGGAGCGAACAGG